rnacentral:lncRNA from 1 species
AUGGUUGGCCCCGGGUGGGCGCCGGGGGUCCCCAGGGUCCGGUCCUGUCCUCCUCCGCGGGGCCCCUGCACCCCCCCCACCCCGGCUUCCAGCGUUUGCUUUCGGGUGCUGCCUUUCCAGUCCCGGCGCAGAAUUCCUGAGACGAGGCCGUGCCGGGAUGUCCCAAACCCUCUCCGCCACCUCCCGUCGCUGCCGGUCCCCUAUGCUGGCCGGCUGCUGCCUGGGCUCUCCCGACCCGGCAGCUCAGCAGAGUCCCACGCGCACCCGCUUGCCUGCCCGGCACCCGCUCCGUUCCCGGCUGGAUUCGCCUGCUUCCAGAGGAAGAUGAGUUUGGGGGAUGCCCGGCUCCGCAGGGACCUGUCACCCUCGCCCCAGGUGCUCCAGGGACCUGCCACCCUCACCCUGGGCUCCCGACCGUGCAGGGACCUGCCACCAUCUCCCCAGGUGCCCAGGGUGCCCCAGGCACCUGCCACCCUUGUCCUUGGGUGUCCUUUGUGCCCCAGGGACCUGCCACCAUCACCUUGGACACCUGACCGUGCAGGGACCUGUCACCAUCAUCCCAGGUGCCCAGUGUGCCCCAGGGACCUGCCACCAUCACCCUGGACACCUGACCAUGCAGGGACCUGUCACCAUCACCCUGGGUGCCCAGUGUGCCCCAGGGACCUGCCAGCAUUGCCCUGGACACCAAGCUGUGCAGGGACCUGUCACCAUCAUCCCAGGUGCCCAGUGUACCCCAUGGACCUGCCACCAUCACCCUGGGCACCUGGCCAUGCAGGGACCUGUCACCAUCACCCCAGGUGCCCAGGGUGUCCCAGGGACCUCCCACCAUCACCCUGGACACCUGGCCAUGCAGGGACCUGCCAGCAUCGCCCCAGGCACGUUGGUUUUCCGGUGAGGAAGAGGGUGGUCUGCGCCUGGUGUCCUCUCGCAGCCCUUGUCCGCGACCCCCAUCCCCUGGUGCCCCCGAAUUGGCAGCGCUUCCCGCGCCCCGUCGCAAGGGGAGCAGGGCUCCCCCCAGUCCCCGGCCCGCCGCGGACCCGGCACACUCACUGCCCUGAGAUCAUUCCCGAAGGAUCUGCUGAUCGCGCCGCGGAUUUGACGGCAACGAGCUCCUCCCCGCRUUGCUUCUCCUUCAAUAAACGGCCUUUCCCGGGCUCCGGGCUCUCCUCCGCGCUCCCGCCAUUCCCAGGGCGCCGGGCCCCACCRAUGCUCCCAGCUCCCGGCUCGUUCUGCCCCGGCAGGAGACAGGGGGUCUCUGCUGGGGCCGGAGCCUGGGGACAUCGGGGACGUCCCCAGCCGGGGCCCGGUGCAGAGCCCAGGGCCCCCGUGCAGCCCUCGUGCCUGCCGGGUGCCAGCGCUGAGUGCCUCGGCGGGGGGACACAGGGACGUGGGGUGGCACCGGGACAUUGCAGGGGUGGGCAGGGGACGUGGAAGAGGUGGCACGGGGAUGUGCGGUGGCACUGGGGCAUGGGGGUGGCACGGGGACAU